rnacentral:rRNA from 1 species
UAGGGAAUAUUGGUCAAUGGAUGCAAGUCUGAACCAGCCAUGCCGCGUGCAGGAAGAAGGCCUUCUGGGUUGUAAACUGCUUUUGCCAGGGGAUAAAAAUCUCAUGCGUGAGAAAUUGAAGGUACCUGGUGAAUAAGCCACGGCUAACUACGUGCCAGCAGCCGCGGUAAUACGUAGGUGGCAAGCGUUGUCCGUAUUUAUUGGGUUUAAAGGGUGCGUAGGCGGCCUAUUAAGUCAGUGGUGAAAUAUUUCAGCUCAACUGGAAUUGUGCCAUUGAUACUGAUGGGCUUGAGUACAGAUGAGGUAGGCGGAAUUGACGGUGUAGCGGUGAAAUGCUUAGAUAUCGUCAAGAACACCUAUAGCGAAGGCAGCUUACUAGGCUGUAACUGACGCUGAGGCACGAAAGUGUGGGGAUCAAA